GAUGAACGCUGGCGGCGUGCCUAAUACAUGCAAGUCGAGCGAACGGACGAGAAGCUUGCUUCUCUGAUGGUAGCGGCGGACGGGUGAGUAACACGUGGAUAACCUACCUAUAAGACAGGGGUAACUUCGUGAAACCGGAGCUAAUACCGGGUGUUAUUGUGAUCCUCAUGUUUCAAAAGUGAGAGACGGUCUUGCUGCCACCGAUAGAUGGAUCCGCGCUGCAUUAGCUAGUUGGUAAGGUAACGGCUUACCAAGGCGACGAUGCAUAGCCGACCUGAGAGGGUGAUCGGCCCCCCUGGAACUGAGACACGGUCCAGCCUCCUACGGGAGGCAGCAGUAGGGAAUCUUCCGCAAUGGGCGAAAGCCUGACGGAGCAACGCCGCGUGAGUGAUGAAGGUCUUCGGAUCGUAAACCUCUGUUAUUAGGGAAGAACAUAUGUGUGAGUAACUGUGCGCAACUUGACGGUACCUAAUCAGAAAGCCCCGGCUAACUACGUG
rnacentral:rRNA from 1 species